rnacentral:rRNA from 1 species
AGAGUUUGAUCCUGGCUCAGAACGAACGCUGGCGGCGCGUCUUAAGCAUGCAAGUCGGGCGGCAGCCGCAGCGAUGCGGCGAGAGCGGCGGACGGGUGAGUAACGCGUGGACAACCGACCCUCCGGACGGGGAUAGCCGCGGGAAACUGCGGAUAAUACCGGAUACGACCCGGGGAGCGAAGGCGCUCCGGGGGAAAGCCGCUGCGGCGGCGCCGGGGGACGGGUCUGCGUCCCAUCAGCUAGACGGCGGGGUGAAGGCCCACCGUGGCGACGACGGGUAGCCGGCCUGAGAGGGUGGACGGCCACAUUGGGACUGAGAACGGCCCAGACUCCUACGGGAGGCAGCAGCUAAGGAUCUUCCGCAAUGGGCGAAAGCCUGACGGAGCGACGCCGCGUGGACGAUGGAGGCCGUGAGGUUGUAAAGUCCUUUUCCGUGGGGUGAAGAGCCGUGCCAGGGAAUGGGUGCGGGGUGACGUGACCACGGGAAUAAGCCCCGGCUAACUACGUGCCAGCCGCCGCGGUAAUUC